GAAUUGACGGGGGCCCGCACAAGCGGUGGAGCAUGUGGUUUAAUUCGAUGCAACGCGGAGAACCUUACCUACUCUUGACAUCCAGCGAACUUAGCAGAGAUGCUUUGGUGCCUUCGGGAACGCUGAGACAGGUGCUGCAUGGCUGUCGUCAGCUCGUGUUGUGAAAUGUUGGGUUAAGUCCCGCAACGAGCGCAACCCUUAUCCUUUGUUGCCAGCGAUUUGGUCGGGAACUCAAAGGAGACUGCCGGUGAUAAACCGGAGGAAGGUGGGGAUGACGUCAAGUCAUCAUGGCCCUUACGAGUAGGGCUACACACGUGCUACAAUGGCGCAUACAAAGAGAAGCGACCUCGCGAGAGCAAGCGGACCUCACAAAGUGCGUCGUAGUCCGGAUCGGAGUCUGCAACUCGACUCCGUGAAGUCGGAAUCGCUAGUAAUCGUGGAUCAGAAUGCCACGGUGAAUACGUUCCCGGGCCUUGUACACACCG
rnacentral:rRNA from 1 species